ACGAACCCAUACUAAAUAAACUGGGGGAAAUAUAGAGUUAAAAGGGGUCGACGGUGAAGGAGCGAACUAUCGUCUAGGGGCAUUUCAAGAAUCGGACAGCAUACGCAAAUGGCUGAAGAAGGUGGCAAUGGGAAAGGAAAUGAGAAUUGGGUAGAGGAUCUUCAACGUACUGUUAUCGAAUCCAAGGACUCGGCAAUUCGCUCUGCUCGAUCCUUUCAGCAAAAUUCUUCUUCCCAUUUUCGCUCCUUACAGGAUCAUGUGCCACAAGCAAUUUCCCAGUUUAAAGCUUAUGAAGAUACCUUUUUCAGCAGAAUUAAAGAGGAGUUGACGAGUGCAAAGGAACACCCAGUUGAGGCUAUUGGGGUUGCUGUAACCACUGGCCUCCUUCUUAUGCGAGGCCCUCGAAGAUUUUUGUUUCGCCAUACAUUUGGUAGACUUCUAAAUGAAGAGGCAAAAUUUCUUAAAGCUGAAAAGAAUGUGAAAGAGUUGAAUGUCUCAGUAGAUUUAAUGAAGAAUGAGAGCAAAAAGUUACUUGAAAGGGCAUCUCUUGCUGAAAAGGAUAUGAAACAUGGCCGUACUGAGCUCAUGGAUGCUGGAAAUCAAAUUCAACGUCUUGCUAAAUCAGCUUACAAGGUGGAAAAUCAAGUUGCAGCUUCAAUUACCGCUCAUUUCGCGAAUCAUAGACAAAAACCUUAACACAAAGAAGAAGAUACCCAUAGCUUCAAAGUUAUUGCUAAUUGCAAAGAAGUCUCAGUCUGCUGCUGUUGAUUUACCAAGAUAAUACUUGAUUCCUCAUUGCCACUAUCGAGAAAGAUUGAAACGAAGAUUACAUGGAUGAAGGAUAAAUUGGUUUUGGAUUAUUUGAUUAUGAUUUGAUGGAAGGGCUACGAGAAAUCCCUGGGAGGGAUGCUUUGAAACUUCGAGCCGAGGUUGCUUCUAUGGCGUCAGUUUUGAAGCAGCAUAGAACUGUGUUGGACAAACAGAUCAUGAAGAUUUCUGAACUAGGGGUUCCAGUUUGAUAGGAUAUAAUGAUGCUGAAGCCAGCACUUGGUGCAUCUGUAUUUUGUUUCUCUCAAUUCUAAUCCAUUUUCUGUUAUGCAGCAGCAAGCAGAGAAGUCAUUUAGGAACUAAUGUACGUCAUGGUAUUGCAUCUAUAAUCUGACGGAUUUCAUUAUAGAACUGAAGAACAGAUAGCAUGCAGAAGCAUUUUCUUUUUAUCUUUUGUUGAAUUGAUCAACGUUUUGUUAACUGGAGAGCUCAUAGCACUAGCUCAAUGACUACUUUUCUUCUAAGUUUUUGUUAUGAAAUAAGAGAAGAGCUCCAUGAC